AAAAGUGCUAUACCUCUCAUGCCCCCUUAGUAUAAGCUUAAGCACUGGUUACUGUAAGUAGUUUUUCAUAUAUUUUGUUGAAUUUGAGUGAAAUAUCUAUUGAUCACAUGAAUUAUUGAUUGCACUAUUUUGAAAAAAGCUCUGCAUUUAAAGACUGAAAGAUAAGAUCAAUUUUCUUUAUUCUACUCUGUUGCUUUUCUAUCAAUGCAGCUUGUUUGCUGUGCUUGUAUCUGCAUUUAGCUAACUUUCUCAUCUAACUUCUUUCCUAUCAUAUUUCACUAUGAUAUCCAGCUAACUAGCUAGCUAUCCCAUGGUGUUCCCCCAUGAUGCUACUAGGGUAUAUAUUUCUUCCUGCUAACUAUCAUAUCCACCUAACUCUGGCCAGCUAUCCCAUGGUGCUGCCUCCAUGAUGCUACUAGGGUAUAUGUCUUCAAGCUAACUAUAAUAUCCACAACUGUUAUAUCCACAUAACUCUAGCUAGCUAUCACAUGGUGUCCCUCCAUGAUGCUAAUAUGGUAUAUAUUUCUUCCUUGUAACUACCAUUAGGACCCAUAUUAUAUCCAUCUAGCUCUCACAUGUGCUGCCAGGUUGUAUAUUUCAUCCACCAAGCUAGCCGAAGCUGCUACCGAGAAAGAUGCUACAUACUGCCAGCCAGCCCAUGUUUCUUCUAGGGAGCAUUUACUAUUCUUUGCUUCUUAUAGCCUACCCUAUAUAUUCCUAUAAGCUCAUCUAUCCUAUAGGGUCUUAUUGGUAGUAUAUUUCAUGAUGGUCUAUACAUUACAUCUAACUAGCUCUACUGUGUGCUACCAGGCUGUAUAUUUCAUCCAUCAGGCUAGCCAAAGCUGCUACCUUGCAUGGUUGUAUACAGCAAGCUAGCUCAGGCUGUAUCACUUCCAGUCUUCUACCUGUUGCUCUUGACCGAAGUCUUUCAGUCUUUCAGUAUUUAGCAACUUCUGAUUGCAUAAUUGUUUAAACUAGAAGAUUAUAAGUUAAUCAUUAUGGAAAUAUGGGACCUAUCAAGUUAAUAUUAAAGUAACACUUACAAUUUAAGCCUACCAUUCAAAACAAUUCAGCUUGUAGGAUUUUUCCAUGUUUGAUAGGAUCUUUUUUAGUAAAUGAAAGAAAGCAAAACUUGAAGCUUUUAAAAUCUGCAUCAUAAUGGUUGUUUUCUAAAACUUGUAUGAGAGCAUUAUUUUCAGUUACUUUAAUAAUGAAACUUUGCAAGUGGUUAUAUUAUAGUUAUAAAAAUAGAUGAUAGCAUCAAAUCCCAUAACUCUGACAUUCAUUUUAGCCAAAUUGCACCCCCACCCCCUUUUGGACUAAGUAAAUCCUGGUUAAAGUUUUGCAUUCAACUCUGUAGGUAUUUUAAAAACUAGGGUAAUAUUCCCGAUUCAAAUAGUAGAGCAUUAAUGUCUUAGGGACAUCUCCUGUUCUUUGAUCUCGUGCAUGCCGGAUAUUUCUAGGUCAUUUCUGUUAAUUUGCUUGUCAGGACCAGUUUUCUAGAGUAAUUGCCCUUGAAUAAAUCAAAAUUUAAAUCUAUUAAGAAGAGUAUUAUAGAAAAUAUAAAUUAAUUCGAAGGGUAUAUAUUGUGACUUCUACACUCUUGGUAUCUCUGGCAUUGUUUGACAAGAUUCACUUAAGUGAAGUGUUGGUUGCUAUUUCUUAGUACUAAUCUCAGUGGCUGAUGUUUAAAAGCAAGCAAGGCAUGAACUUCAGUUGCUUCAAUUUGGUUAAUGGUGCAUUUCAUUUAAACAGGGUUCAUUAGGUUACGGGGUUACAAUUAAGGCCAUGAAAAAAAAAUUAAGAAGAUUAAGAAGAAAGUUGCUGUAUCAAGGCUUUAAUUGGUAAUAGUUUCCUUUAUGAAUCAAAUUUACUGAAAUGAAUUAUGUUUUUAAAUUCAUUGGCAUUAGCAAUGUCUGUUUGAGGAAUAUUUUUUAAAGUUAAAUUGGCAAAGUCUAAAGUUGAUGUAAUAUGGAAAGUUAAGUGGCAAGGUGAAUGAGAUGAAUGGAUGCAUGAGUUGAUCUUAACUUUCUUCAACAUUUAAUCCUAUGGGCAACAUUUUGUAAAGCCAAUCAAAAUUUUAAGGCUUGAGAGCAGAGACUUUCAUUAUUUCCAUGCAUGGAAACUGAAAUGAUGACGGUCCUUGUAUAGAGAUCCAGGCACUUUGUUCCCAAGGUGAUGUGAAAUGGUGCCAAGUGUUGUGUAUGUCUUCUGCAUUCACUCUACUAGACCACUACUGCCUGGAUCUUCAGUAUGUUCAGUUAGUACUGGAACUCUGAUGACACUGAGGAAAUAUUCUACAAUCUUCACCAUGGUUACGGUUGAAUAGGGAUUCCCACAUAGCAAUUGCUGUACAAUGUAAUGCCAGCAUGUAUGUUUUUCUAAGAAAGGGACAUGGUGUGUCAAGGCGGAAGCUGUGCAUUUGGACAGGUAAGUUUUUUUUAAGAAUAU